AUGGCUCCCUCGCCUAUCCCCCUCCUCCUCCUCCUCCUCCUCGCCGUCGCGGCCCUCUGCCCCCUCGCCGCCGCGCAGCAGCGCAACGUCCAGACCCGCUUCCCCUCCACGCGCACCCCGGCAGUCGCCGCCCCGCCGCCGCCGAUCGUGCCCCCGUCGCCGUCCCCCACCGGCCCGGCCAUCCUGCCCCCGCAGUCCGCCUCCUCGUCCUCCUCCUCCUCCACGAAGCGCAGCGACAUCGCCGUGGCCGUGGUGAGCACGGCGCUGAGCAGCUUCGCGCUCUGCGGCCUCGCCUUCUUCCUCUUCCUCCGCCACGGCAAGAAGAAGGAGCUGACGCACGUCGGCGGCAACGGUCACUCCAACCGGCCCCAGGACGCCGCGCUCGCCGGCAAGCUGCCGGAGAGGGCGCCGAAGCGGCCGCCCCGCGGCGGCAUGGUGGACGAGAACGGGCUCGACGCGAUAUACUGGCGGGAGUUCGAGAAGGAGGGCGAGGGCGGCGGCAGGGGCAGGAAGCCCGCGGGGGGCUGGCGCCCGCCGCAGCCGCCGCCCCGGCAGAGCCGCGCGGAGAGAUGGCCGGAGGCGCAGGCGUCGCCGGCCCCGUCCCCGCCGCGGCCGAGGAAGGGCAAGAUAGAUCAGGAACCGCUCAUACCCAGGGGCUCCCUGGAUUCCUCAUCCGCCGUGUUCGACGAGUCGCCGCGCCCGCCCAGCGCCAGCUCCAGCUCGUCCUUCUCCGUCGCUGCCCCCGAGGCCUACGCGCGGCCGCCGCCGCCGGCGAUCGCCGUCCCCCGCCCGUCCCCGCCACCAGCCCCUGCUGCCCCACCAAGCGCGUCGGCAUCGGCAUCGGCAUCCCUGGCGCGGCCGCCAGGAAGAGGAAGCCCGCCACCGCCGCCACCACCAAUGGCCACCACGUCGCCACCGCCUAAAGGCCCGCCGCCGCCACCAGCGCCGAAGGGCCCACCACCCCCGCCAGCACCCAAAGGCCCACCUCCUCCACCAGCACCCAGAGGCCCGCCUCCGCCACCGCCACCCGGAGGAAAGAAGGGAGGGCCGCCGCCACCACCACCUCCCGGUGGCAAGAAGGGAGGGCCGCCCCCGCCGCCUGCCUGGGCGUCGUCCUCGAGGCCACCGGCGGCCCCGGGCGGGCCGUCCGGCGCGGACGACCUGGCGAAGCUGAAGCCGCUGCAUUGGGACAAGGUCAACGUGGCGGCCACCGACCACUCCAUGGUGUGGGACAAGCUCACCGGCGGCUCAUUCAACUUGGACGAAGGCACCAUCGAGGCGCUGUUCGGCACCGCGGCGGUGAACCGCAAGACGAAAUCCGCGGACGCCAAGGACUCCUCGAGCGGCCUCGGGCGCUCGACCUCGGAGGAGCAGAUAUUCCUGAUUGAGCCACGCAAGUCGCACAACAUCUCCAUCAUCCUCCGGUCCCUCACCGUGGGGCGGGACGAGAUCAUCGACGCGCUGCGUGAUGGCAACACCGAGCUCGGCACGGACGUCCUCGAGAAGCUGUCCCGGCUCAGCAUCUCCAAGGAGGAAGAGGCCACCAUCCUGAAGUUCUCUGGGAACCCCGACAGACUUGCCCCCGCAGAGGCCUUCCUUCUUCGACUCCUGCUCGACGUGCCCAACCCGUUUGCCCGUGUCAAUGCGCUGCUAUUCAAGGUGAACUACGGUUCUGAGAUUGCUGUGCUCAAGCAAUCGCUCCAGACUUUGGAGAUGGCGAGCCAGGAGCUGAGGACGAAGGGGCUCUUCUUUAAACUGCUUGAGGCGGUGCUAAAGGCGGGCAACCGGAUGAAUGCCGGCACGGCGCGGGGGAACGCGCAGGCCUUCAACCUCACAGCACUGCGCAAGCUCAACGACGUGAAGAGCACCGAUGGAGGCACCACACUGCUCCACUUUGUCAUCGAGGAGGUUGUGCGCGCAGAGGGGAAACGCCUUGCCGUCAACCGCAACUACACCAUCCGCCGCUCUGGUAGCCUCGCCAAGAGCAGCGUCGAUGGCGGAAUUUCAGCAGCUGGCUCCGCUGGCCAGGGGCCAUCACGCGAGGACAGGCAGAAUGAGUACUUGAACCUAGGAUUGCCCAUUGUUGGAGGUCUCAGCAGUGAGUUUGCCAAUGUGAAGAAGGCUGCAACUGUGGACUACGAUGUGACUGCCAAUGAAUGCACAAUCUUAGGCAACCGACUCGCGGGCAUCAAGAAGCUCCUGGAGACCUGCGGGGACGAUGGAUUCUCAAGAGGGUUGAGAGGCUUUGUCAAUGCUGCGGAGCAAGAGCUGAAGGCACUGAGUGGAGUGCAGGAGAAGGUGCUUGAUCUGGUUCAGCGGACGACGGAGUACUACCAUGCAGGUGCUACCAAGGACAGGAACGCGCAUCCCCUCCAGUUGUUCGUCAUUGUGAGGGAUUUCCUGGGGAUGGUGGACCAGGCAUGUGUGGACAUCAAGAGAAGACUGCAGCAGCAAAAGAAGCCAACACCCCCGUCAUCACAGCCAACAACGGCGGCGGCUGCUAAGGGGCCAGCUGAAGCCGCUAAGGGGGCACCUGAUGGUGCUAAGGCGGUAGCUGGUGGCGCGGCGGCAGCACCACCGGCUCAAAAACCACCACCAGAAGAAGCAGAUAGCAAAAGGAAGAGGGUCAUGCCAAGAUUCCCAAACUUGCCAGCGCACUUUAUGAAGGACGGCGCAGACUCUGAUUCAAGUAGUGAUGAGGAAUAG
rnacentral:rRNA from 1 species